AGACCCGAAACCCGGUGAUCUAGCCAUGGGCAGGUUGAAGGUUGGGUAACACUAACUGGAGGACCGAACCGACUAAUGUUGAAAAAUUAGCGGAUGACUUGUGGCUGGGGGUGAAAGGCCAAUCAAACCGGGAGAUAGCUGGUUCUCCCCGAAAGCUAUUUAGGUAGCGCCUCGUGAAUUCAUCUCCGGGGGUAGAGCACUGUUUCGGCAAGGGGGUCAUCCCGACUUACCAACCCGAUGCAAACUGCGAAUACCGGAGAAUGUUAUCACGGGAGACACACGGCGGGUGCUAACGUCCGUCGUGAAGAGGGAAACAACCCAGACCGCCAGCUAAGGUCCCAAAGUCAUGGUUAAGUGGGAAACGAUGUGGGAAGGCCCAGACAGCCAGGAUGUUGGCUUAGAAGCAGCCAUCAUUUAAAGAAAGCGUAAUAGCUCACUGGUCGAGUCGGCCUGCGCGGAAGAUGUAACGGGGCUAAACCAUGCACCGAAGCUGCGGCAGCGACACUGUGUGUUGUUGGGUAGGGGAGCGUUCUGUAAGCCUGUGAAGGUGUGCUGUGAGGCAUGCUGGAGGUAUCAGAAGUGCGAAUGCUGACAUAAGUAACGAUAAAGCGGGUGAAAAGCCCGCUCGCCGGAAGACCAAGGGUUCCUGUCCAACGUUAAUCGGGGCAGGGUGAGUCGACCCCUAAGGCGAGGCCGAAAGGCGUAGUCGAUGGGAAACAGGUUAAUAUUCCUGUACUUGGUGUUACUGCGAAGGGGGGACGGAGAAGGCUAUGUUGGCCGGGCGACGGUUGUCCCGGUUUAAGCGUGUAGGCUGGUUUUCCAGGCAAAUCCGGAAAAUCAAGGCUGAGGCGUGAUGACGAGGCACUACGGUGCUGAAGCAACAAAUGCCCUGCUUCCAGGAAAAGCCUCUAAGCAUCAGGUAACAUCAAAUCGUACCCCAAACCGACACAGGUGGUCAGGUAGAGAAUACCAAGGCGCUUGAGAGAACUCGGGUGAAGGAACUAGGCAAAAUGGUGCCGUAACUUCGGGAGAAGGCACGCUGAUAUGUAGGUGAAGUCCCUCGCGGAUGGAGCUGAAAUCAGUCGAAGAUACCAGCUGGCUGCAACUGUUUAUUAAAAACACAGCACUGUGCAAACACGAAAGUGGACGUAUACGGUGUGACGCCUGCCCGGUGCCGGAAGGUUAAUUGAUGGGGUCAGCGCAAGCGAAGCUCUUGAUCGAAGCCCCGGUAAACGGCGGCCGUAACUAUAACGGUCCUAAGGUAGCGAAAUUCCUUGUCGGGUAAGUUCCGACCUGCACGAAUGGCGUAAUGAUGGCCAGGCUGUCUCCACCCGAGACUCAGUGAAAUUGAACUCGCUGUGAAGAUGCAGUGUACCCGCGGCAAGACGGAAAGACCCCGUGAACCUUUACUAUAGCUUGACACUGAACAUUGAGCCUUGAUGUGUAGGAUAGGUGGGAGGCUUUGAAGUGUGGACGCCAGUCUGCAUGGAGCCGACCUUGAAAUACCACCCUUUAAUGUUUGAUGUUCUAACGUGGACCCGUGAUCCGGGUUGCGGACAGUGUCUGGUGGGUAGUUUGACUGGGGCGGUCUCCUCCUAAAGAGUAACGGAGGAGCACGAAGGUUGGCUAAUCCUGGUCGGACAUCAGGAGGUUAGUGCAAUGGCAUAAGCCAGCUUGACUGCGAGCGUGACGGCGCGAGCAGGUGCGAAAGCAGGUCAUAGUGAUCCGGUGGUUCUGAAUGGAAGGGCCAUCGCUCAACGGAUAAAAGGUACUCCGGGGAUAACAGGCUGAUACCGCCCAAGAGUUCAUAUCGACGGCGGUGUUUGGCACCUCGAUGUCGGCUCAUCACAUCCUGGGGCUGAAGUAGGUCCCAAGGGUAUGGCUGUUCGCCAUUUAAAGUGGUACGCGAGCUGGGUUUAGAACGUCGUGAGACAGUUCGGUCCCUAUCUGCCGUGGGCGCUGGAGAACUGAGGGGGGCUGCUCCUAGUACGAGAGGACCGGAGUGGACGCAUCACUGGUGUUCGGGUUGUCAUGCCAAUGGCACUGCCCGGUAGCUAAAUGCGGAAGAGAUAAGUGCUGAAAGCAUCUAAGCACGAAACUUGCCCCGAGAUGAGUUCUCCCUGACCCUUUAAGGGUCCUGAAGGAACGUUGAAGACGACGACGUUGAUAGGCCGGGUGUGUAAG
rnacentral:rRNA from 1 species